GGGAUACUUCAAGCAACAUCAACUGUGGUCCUGUGAGGAGCAUGAAGGUCUCUCAGACACUUCAGGACAGCUACACUGCAUGACCCAUCUCAAAAUCCUCAUCAGUCUUCACCAAACAUCCUGCCCCGCAUCAUCUGGAAAUCACUCUGGCUAAUGAUGGGACUAUCCUGUUUGUUGGCAGUAACACUGAAGUGGGACUAUGCUAUAACUACGGAGGGCAUUGGCUGACUCCUGCUGACCUACUGUCGCUCACAUACAAGCCUCUAACAAGGAGAAAUGCUUUAGUUUAGUUUAUUUCUGUUGAUGAACCAUGCACUCCUAAUAGCCUCGUGUCGCUGUGGGCAUUUUGGGUCCCUUGAUGAGUGAUACUUAUUUCAGCAUGUCUGUAAACAUGUGCAAAAUGCCAGCUUAAUUUUAGUUACAAUGAAUAAGCAUUCAGAGCUUUAGACUACCAUUAUAUGCUUGUCUUCCC